UACGUAGGGUGCGAGCGUUAAUCGGAAUUACUGGGCGUAAAGCGUGCGCAGGUGGUUUUGUAAGUCAGAUGUGAAAUCCCCGGGCUUAACCUGGGAACUGCAUUUGUGACUGCAUCGCUGGAGUGCGGCAGAGGGGAUGGAAUUCCGCGUGUAGCAGUGAAAUGCGUAGAUAUGCGGAGGAACACCGAUGGCGAAGGCAAUCCCCUGGGCCUGCACUGACGCUCAUGCACGAAAGCGUGGGGAGCAAACAGG
rnacentral:rRNA from 1 species